rnacentral:lncRNA from 1 species
GAAUACAUUAAAUAAUAUCUGUAACAACAUAGUUGUACCAACAUCAGUUAUAUAACCCUAAACCGGUAGUACAAGUCAUAAGCUUUUCUAAGAGUCACAAGAAAUAACAAUACAUCACUGUCCCGAGAUAAUAGGAAACAAUGGAAAUAAAAUACAAUAGAAUGUGACUUUGGAGCCUGCGAAUGUCAAGCAGAUAUACCUUGAAGUCUCCCGCCGCGCAAAGAUAUGUCUCAAACCAACUCGAUCAUAAGUACUUGAAUCUGCACAAAAUGUGCAGAAGUGUAGCAUGAGUACACCACAACGGUACCCAGUAAGUAUCAAGCUUAACCUCGCUAGAGUAGUGACGAGGCCAGGUCAAGACACCUAUCAAACAUGUAAAUCUGUACACGGUAUAACUUAAAGCUAAUAAUGAAAAGAACAUCAUUGUAGACCAACAGUAGAAGGAUCAAAAUUUACAAUUUAACAGUGAAAAUAAUAGAAGCGCGAAUAGCAACAAGAAGUAAAUAAGUAAUAUAUAAACGGAUAAAACUCAAUCAAUCAAAUCGUUCAUAAUGUACAAUUUACAACAAAAAUUAAGGGAGGUACCACUCUUCGUAAUCUCAAACCAUAAGUCACAACUUUCAAAUUUUACAUGUAUGGCACCUCGUGCCCACAUUUUUUUAAAUCACUUUCGCACGGCAAAACCCACAUGCCACCAUGUACAUUGUAUCCAUGUCAAAUGCUAAUUAAAAUGUUCAAGAGAUUUAUUUGUAUAAGAUAAGACAUAAUAACAACCUUGAAUAAAGUAGGAAAUCAAAUGAGAAAAUGAGUUUAUUUUAAAAAUUAUUUGAGUGAAGAAAAUAACAUUUUUCAAAUAAAAUAAAGUAUCGGAUAAGCUACUAAAUUAAAUAUAAAAUUUGCUAAAUUAAAACAUAAUAACGAUUUUUAGUAAAGUAAAAACAUCAAAUAGGGUAAGGAGUUUAAGUUGAGACAUCAAUUAAAGUGUAAUAUGACAACUAUUAAGAAUAGUAAAGUACCGAACGAAACGUCGAGUUUUAAAUUAAGAGUCACAUAAGGUAAGCAUGUUAAUAAUUCUUUUAUUUAAAACUAUUAUGUUACCAACAACUCAACAUGGUAUGAGAUAAUGACUCUGCGCAGUAAAUUCAUCUUGAAAAUCAAUUCACCAAGUAACCACGGAAGCACAUAUUAAUACCUUGAAGUAAUACGACAGUUGAUGUAGGAUACAUGACUCACACAAAACAUAACAACAACAGCAAGUAUAACAUACACAAUCCGUUGCGGGGCAACCCGAUCCCACAAUAUCAUCAUUUAUCAAUAUCAUAAUCCUCCCUCAUUCCACCAUAAUAAUCAAUAAGCAAUAUCAAGUAUCACAUAUACGAACCGUUGCGGCGCGCAACCCGAUCCCACAGUAUCAUCAUAUAUCAAUAUCAAAAUCCCCCAUUAUUCCACCCGUUGAGACGUGUAACCCGAUCCCACUGUAUCAUCAUAUAUCAAUAUCAAAUCCUUCCUUAUUCCACUCCUUGCGGCGUGCGGCCCGAUUCUAUCGUAACAUUCUACUCGUUGCAGCGCGCAACCCGAUCCACAAAUAAUUUCAAAUAACAAUAACAAUUCAAUAACUCAAUUUACAAGAAUUUCUAAAAUCCAAGGGUACGAGUGCACAGAAAUAAGGAACCACGUAGUAACCAAAGGAAUGCAACAAAUAUUACAAAAAUAACAGGACAAGUAAAGCACGUGACAACUAAGGUGUGCAAGUAAAACAGUUAAGACAAGUAGCAAAUAGGCACGGAGUCACGGAAGGGACGAACACUUCAAUAUUUCAACAACAAAUAGCCUAUGACUCAACCACAAUGUGUACAAAAAUUUCGACAAUAAUAACGUGAAUGGGAAUACUCAACAAGGAAAGGUAACAAGACAAUAAGGAAGCCAAUAACUUCAACUAAAGCAUAUAAGAGCAAAAUAACAAAGAGGUAGAACAAGUGCUAACAACGUCAACUAGAGCAUGUAAGAGUAGAUUAACAAUGAGAGAUAUCACAUGAUAUGACGAUUCAAUUAAAGGCAUGGAAAGGGUCUAGAUAAUCUAAACCGGUCAAAUACCACAUUAGGUUGUGUACCCACUCGACACUUUGCGUACACGGCUUUCACAAAACACGAAUAGCACAAUUAACCCAAAUUCCAAGGGGUAGUUCCCAACACAAAGUUAGGCAAGAUACUUACCUCAAAGAAACUAAACUAAUGCACUAAAAUGACCUUCUCGUGUGAAACAAUUUCCGGACGACUCAAAUCUAGCCAAAUAACUUCAUAUCAUAAAUAAAAGUUAUAGGAAACAAUUCUGAAUAAUAAAGUUUCGAUUUUUAAAGAAAACUAAAAAGUCAACCCAAAAAGUUAGCCCCGAGCCCACACCUCGGAAUCCGACAAAAUUACAAAAUUCGAACACCCAUUCAGAUACGAGACUAACUAUACCAAAAUUAUCAAAUUCCGACAUCAAAUCGGCCUUCAAAUUCUCAUUUUAUAUAUUUUUUAAGUUUAUACAAAAUUUCUCACUUUCUCUCGUUCAAAUCACUAAUUUAAUGUUAAAAAUAAAGAUUGAAUCACAAAAUAUAAUUAAAUCCGGAUCAAGAAGACUUACCUCAAUCCUAACGCGUAAAAAUACCCUCGAGGUUCGUGAAUGAGGAUCCAAUUCGCACUUCUUACUUCAUUUAGGUGUUCUUACCUUUAUCAAAUAGGAGUAAUGAAAUUAUCCACAAGCCGCCACCCCCCCCCCCCGAUCCCGGGGCCAGGUACCUUUUUAAGUCUGGAAUAAUUGAUGAAAUGGCAUGUCUUUGGCACUUUUCCCCCUUAGAAUUUAUUCCACUAAGCCAGGAUUAGAUUUUGCGUAAUAACUGAUAAAUAUAUAAUAUAUGUAUAAUUUAUGUAUACCAAUUAGAAAAAACAAACAGUAAAUCCGGCCGUUUAUUUAUAUAAGUUUUUUGAAAUAUCACUAGUAUUUUAAAUAUCGGAAGUAUUUGUAAAUAUUGAAGACCAAUAAAUAGUACUUAAAAUUGUUGCACUUUAAUAUUUAAAUAUACUGAAUUAUUUGUGACCUAUAAAGAAAAUAUCAAAAAGGCUGCUCGUACAGGCUGCUCGUACAGACUAUCAAAAUAUUUUCCCUUUUUAUGCACAGACGAUCUUAUUUUUUCUUUUUUGGGUAUUUACCAGUACUUCCUACUCUACGUACUAAUUAAGAUUACACAAGAAUAUUCGUCUUGGUUAAAAAAAAGACAGGUAAAGGCUGCUAUAGCUUGUUGAAAUAGAUAUUUAGAUUUUAACAAUUAAGAAUAACUGCGACUUGUGUAACACAAUGAUGUUUUAGGUUUUAACAAAGUUGUACGUGACUGAGUCAAAUCAAAAUAAAAUGGAAUACAAUAACUGCUUUCAUACUUAAUUAUCGCAAGCGAUAUUUAUUCACCUCCUAUAUGGAUGGAGAGACUAGUUCCCACGGCCUUUUUCUUACUUUAAUCUCGCAACACAUAUCUUAAAGGAAUCAAAGGAAGUUGGAUUCAAGGGUAAGGACACUUUUAUAUAAAGGGACUCUAUCCAUUAGCCUAUGAAAUAAACACAAUCAACAUCUCUUCUUUCUAUAGCUAAACCAAAAGAAAAUCUUUGUAGUUUUAACACUUUAAUUUCUCCAACACCUAAAAUAUGGCACAAAAGAAAGACAUUUCUAAGAUAGGCCAAGAAGGCUUUACUCUGUUGGGAAGCGUAUCAAGCUAAUAGAAAGAAAAGAAUAUUUAAGAUAGAAAAGCAAUAAAUUGCACAAGACAAGACAAGACAAGAUUUACGUGGUUCGACAAUUUUUGCCUACUCCACGGCCACACAAAGAAUAGUUCUUUAUUAAUUGAAGAGAGAAAGAAGAAGUUUUAGGAUGAUCUACAAAUGAAAAUGUAGACCCCUAUUUAUAGGCAUUUGAAUGCCUGCCGAGGUAAGCGCUUACAUCAUAAGAAUGUCGAUGUAAGCGCUUACAUCAUAAGAAUGCCGAG